CUCCAGGCCACACACUUGACUCCCAGCGACCACUCGUAGGCGCUGUAAGUGGACAGCAAGCGGCCAUCCAGAGAAUACAGCAACACCUUGUACUGCCAGGAGGACAUGCGCGUCAAGCAAGCGUUGUGCUUCCAACGGAAUGAGAAAGAGUCGGAAGAUCCAGAGACAGGCACAGAGCAGGCAUGCCACAGACACAUGCCCCCCCACACACACACUUCUUGGCCCUCCAGACACUGUUGUGUGUUGGCCCAUGACACCUGUCAAGUGAUUCCCGGAGUCAGGCUGAACUCCGUAUGCCGCACGGGCUGAAGGUUACAGCUCUAGCGCAAGCUCUCAUCACUCACAGAACAUGUGACCACUACGGAAUGAACACAAAUCAGCCAUCAGGAGUUUACAGGUUGGAAUGGAAAUUAUUUUUGGCACGUUCAUUGUUGGUUAGCCGUAGCUUGACCUUAUAAAAUUUCAGGGCAAAUAUUUUUCAGCGGUUCUGGAAUUAUGAAAUAGACCUCGGCAGUUGCUCGAAGUGUUGAGUGAACUCAAUUAAAGUGUGGUAUGGGUACUACUGGUGGUAAGCGGGCUCCCUGUAGUGGUACACAAAGUAGGGGAGAUCGGGGCUCAUUGUCAUGUGGUUAAAGCUGUCGCAUUGCAGUGUGCUUCAAUAUCAGAAGGCGCAACCAAAAAGUGAAACACCGAUUUUCAUCCUUGAUAUGGUCAGCCGUCAUGUCCUGUCUGAGGAGAGUCGCACAUUGGGUGUUGAGGUGAGUGACAUUUAACCAUUUUGUACAACCCAAAGUAGAAAACGGUGAGUUUACAUAUUUUUGAAAUGAGCAUCGUCCAGACAAAAAAAAAAAAAAAAUCACAUUCAGGAAUCUCGCUAUUCCUCAUAGAGCUUUUACUUACUGUAUGAGCAAACAUGGUAGAUUGUGGCAACACGUCUCAGUCAUUUUGGAGUUUGUUGUCACGUGACAUCAGCAAAGAAGCGGCCAAUGAAAAAUGCACCGCAAGCAAAUCGGUUUACGGAUGCCAGAAUUGCCCAUUCGGAUAUGAUGUGUCUGAUUUGUUGGGGAAAUGCGGUCUUCCAGUUAUUGUUGGAAUUAAGUCCACAUUUCAGGGCUGGUUUAAGAUUCACAAGUAACCAAUGCGUUGUCAAUUUUCAGGUUAAGAAAACUAAAAUGGGUAAUUUGAGGCUGAUGAGCCGCGGCCUUCGUGCCAGCAGUUCCUAAGGACUUUAAUUCCAGUGCGUGUUGCAUAAUAUUUUAGAGUUAGUUCCAAAAGUAAGACAUAGAGCGCCGGUCUCCCCUACAGUUCAGUUGUAUUUAACUUGAAGUUCAAAAUAUGUCAGGGUAAUAUUUUAGAACUGUUGUUUUGACUGCAUCUUACAGUCAUAUUAAAAUAUUUUACAGGAAUAACGGGCUUGCUUUUGAGAGAAAUUGAGGCAGACUAUGCUUGUGUAUUGUAAUGUUGGUCAAUAUGGUGCUACAUGAAGAGCUAAAUAUUUUUUCGGUAGUGCUUGGGAUACAAAUGUUUUAAACCCCUGUGAUAGUGUGACAAUAGCACAGCAUAAAACAUUUUCAUCUGAAAACCGGAAAGCUGCUUUUUUUUCUUGUGGACACCUCGGGCCUUCGUGAAUGCCCGAGGUAAAAAAAAAAAAAUUCUAUCAUUCUUUCGAGUCCACAACCUUAAAACAUCUUUCUUAAAUCUUAAUGCACAAAGGCUCCCUAACAGUAAAAACCUUGGAUGCAAGCAAGUUUGAGAGGUGCUGGUAAUAUCUUCCUCCUUGGUCAAAGCUAAAGUAGCAACCUUAAGCCAACAUUUGGAUCGCGACAGAGCUGCAUGAUGCAAAAAAAUGUUCCAGAGGCAAUAAGUGCAAUGUAUGACAGGAUGCUAACAGGAGUGGAGCUAUGAAAUCAGACUGAAUACAUGCAGCAGGUGGGGGGUGGGGGUGUGUGGGGGGGUGUUAAGGCUCUGGUGUCCAGCUAUUUUUAAGACCCUCCCUUUCCUUGUGGGCCAGCAACAGUGGAAAUCAGACAAGCGCAUGCAUUAACACACUUGCGCGCGCGAGAAGGCAUGCCCGCUUACACGCACUAACUUGGCACUUACAUGGAAUUCUGUGGUGUUGAGAAUGUGACGUCCGUCUGGACUCCAGCGAGAAGCGACCAGGCCGAUCGAGCCCUCGUCGAUUUUACAGUGCCAGUCGGGCUGUUCCAACGACCACACCUGAGGAGAAAGACAGGGAGCGGGACAGCAGGAUAACCAUCACCAAUGACACCUCCUCACACGCAGACGGUAUCAUCCUUAACUUCAGUUCCGAGAACCAUUUGAAACCAUGAAAGACUGGCGAUGGAUCCCCCUCCAGAGGUAAGACCCCAGUGCCCUUACAAUAAAAUGCACAACAGUGAUCCCUCGUUAUUUCGCAGUUCGUUUAUCGAGGCUUCAGUGCUUUGCGGCUUUUUUGAACAUAUUCAUUAAAAAAUAAAAAUAAAAGAA